rnacentral:rRNA from 1 species
CGAACGAAGCGCCUGCGGCGGACCCCUCCGGGGGAAAGCCGCAGGGGACUGAGUGGCGGACGGGUGAGCAACGCGUGGGCAACCUGCCCCGUACCGGGGGACAACAGCCGGAAACGGCUGCUAAUACCGCAUAUUCCCGCGGGGCCGCAUGGCCCUGCGGGGAAAGCUCCGGCAGUACGGGAUGGGCCCGCGUCUGAUUAGCUUGUUGGCGGGGUAACGGCCCACCAAGGCUGCGAUCAGUAGCCGGCCUGAGAGGGCGGCCGGCCACAUUGGGACUGAGACACGGCCCAGACUCCUGCGGGAGGCAGCAGUGGGGGAUAUUGCACAAUGGGGGGAACCCUGAUGCAGCGACGCCGCGUGAACGAAGAAAUAUUUCGGUAUGUAAAGUUCUAUCAGCAGGGAAGAAAAUGACAGUACCUGACCAAGAAGCCCCGGCUAACUACGUGCCAGCAGCCGCGGUAAUACGUAGGGGGCGAGCGUUAUCCGGAUUCACUGGGCGUAAAGGGAGCGCAGGCGGCACGGCAAGUCCGGUGUGAAAGCCCGGGGCCCAACCCCGGGACUGCACUGGAAACUGCCGGGCUGGAGUGUCGGAGGGGCAGGCGGAAUUCCUAGUGUAGCGGUGAAAUGGGUGGAUAUUUGAAGGAACACCGGUGGCGAAGGCGGCCUGCUGGACGACGACUGACGCUGAGGCUC